GCAACUUUUCCUCUGUACAGGUUUUGAUAAAUCUCCCCCACUAUGAAUAGUUCCUGGCCCUAUAUUAUAUGUACGAUAGCCUGAAAUCCUGACCGGGCAUGGAAUCGUAACCACUAUCUUGGAAACGGACCUGAGAAACGGAAAACACGAUUCCUGCCGGAUUAUCAGACUAUGUGUUUCAUUGGUGCUCAGUUGUAAUAUUUAGCUACUUGUGGAAAUAACGCUACUAUUUAUGUACUUUGUGCAACAGUCAAACACUUGACUAAUAUAGUUUUUGGCGAUUUAGUUGGUCUGUCCUGAGGACGCCACAUAAUUGUGGUAGAACUACAUUUAGUCGACUGUUAACAGAAGAUAUAUUAGACUUGAAUAAUGUCUUGUUACUAUUACCAGUUACUAUCAAGCAUUGUUUGCUAGGGGCCACAACUAACUUGGCAACUUGUACUGUAAACCUAUCAGUUUUAACAAUUUUUGAUUAUUUCGGGUUUAUUUGGAAUUUUUGAGCACUAUGUGGUGUGUAUUUUACAUACACUGUUAAAAGUUAAGUUUUCGGCACCUCCUGACUGUACUUGCUGUGUUCUAGUACUAAUAUGGUAUUUCUCUAUAGCUGGGAGUAAUUGGACCCCUUGUAGGUCACUAUGUAAUACCUUGCAAGUUUUUGUUGUCUUAUAAAUAAGAACAGUAAGAAUUGGUUCG